rnacentral:rRNA from 1 species
GGACUACCAGGGUAUCUAAUCCUGUUCGCUCCCCACGCUUUCGUGCCUCAGUGUCAGUUACAGUCCAGAAUGUCGCCUUCGCCACUGAUGUUCCUUCCGAUAUCUACGCAUUUCACCGCUACACCGGAAAUUCCACAUUCCUCUACUGCACUCUAGCCAAACAGUACCAAAUGCAAUGCCUAGGUUGAGCCCAGGGAUUUCACAUCUGACUUAUUUGACCACCUACGCACCCUUUACGCCCAGUGAUUCCGAUUAACGCUCGCACCCUCUGUAUUACCGCGGCUGCUGGCAC